UGUAAGCGUAUACCAAAGUUGUUGCAGUUAAAACGCUCGUAGUCGGAAUUUGGCAGUUCCGGAAGUGUGCACGUCGUGUGCGCACUUCGCGGGGACUGCUUUUGUGGUCUUGCGUAGGAUGAGGCACUUUCAUUAGUGAACGUCCUCACGCAACCACUCUUUACUGUGAGAAAAUCAGAGUGCUCAAAGCAGGCAUUUGCCGUGAAUGUAUUAGCAUGGAAUAAUAGAAUAGGACUCGGUUCUAUUUUGUUGGUUUGUUGGGACUGAGUAAUGAUUAAGAGGGACAGUUGGGGGCAUUUGUAUUCCGGCGCUAGAGGUGAAAUUCUUAGAUUGCCGGAAGACAAACUGCUGCGAAAGCGUCUGCCAAGGAUGUUUUCAUCGA
rnacentral:rRNA from 1 species